rnacentral:rRNA from 1 species
AUUGAACGCUGGCGGCAGGCCUAACACAUGCAAGUCGAACGAGUGGCGGACGGGUGAGUAAUGUCUGGGAAACUGCAUGAUGGAGGGGGAUAACUACUGGAAACGGUAGCUAAUACCGCAUACCAUCGGAUGUGCCCAGAUGGGAUUAGCUAGUAGGUGGGGUAAAUGCUCACCUAGGCGACGAUCCCGAGCUGGGCUGAGAGGAUGACCCGCCACACUGGAACUGAGAUACGGUCCAGACUCCUACGGGAGGCAGCAGGGGGGAAUAUUGCACAAUGGGCGCAAGCCUGAUGCAGCCAUGUCGCGUGUAUGAAGAAGGCCUUCGGGUUGUAAAGUACUUUCAGCGUGGAGGCGUUACCCGCAGAAGAAGCACCGGCUAACUCCGUGCCAGCAGCCGCGGUAAUUC